UCCCUCUCAGGGUCACACCUGGAGAGUUUCCAGUACUCUACCAGUCACGACUAUAAGAGGGAUAGUCAAGGAGAGGCCGAACCAUUCCAUUCUCAGUUUGGUCUGUGGCUAGUGAGUGGAAAGCAAUCUUCUACAAGU